GAGGGUAUAGCUCAGUGGUAGAGCAUGUGCUUAGCAUGCACGAGGUCCUGUGUACAAUCCCCAAUGCUGCCA
rnacentral:tRNA from 1 species